rnacentral:lncRNA from 1 species
AAUGACAAAAUUAUUAAAACAAAUGAAAUUAGGGUAUUUCCACAUACAGACAACGUUUUCAGGAGUCGAAUUAAGGCAAUGUGACAAACAACCACGCGUGAAUCAUAUUUAUUAGACAUAAAAGCAAUCUAUGUAUACAAAUUGAUCUGACAAAACUAUUUAGUGCAAAAUCACUUGUGUUAAGCUCCAAAAAUAAAUUGGGGUUCACACGUAAUAUGUCUCUGAGUCUGACUACUGUGGCCCUGAUACACAGGAUUUCCAAACAUGCCUUGCUAAUCCAUUUAUUUUUUUUUUUAUCUCACCUUUGCGUCUCCAGAAAUUUACAGAAUGUUUAUGUGGUAUGAUAAGUUGGCAGGGAAGGCACUGAAUCUCCAAGCUUUGAUAUUACUUGAAAUGUGGUUCUCUACAAGGUUGGUACGAGUCCUCUAGGCUCUUUAUCAUCUUCUGCUUUUGUCCAGUCUAAUUUAGGUUCCUGAAGCAUGAAAACAAAUAAUAGCAUGAAUCAAUAAAACCAGUAAGUGAAAAUGUGAUGGAAGCAUAUUGGGAAGUGAUUAAAAAUAUUCUUGUCAGUAAGAAAAUGUAGAACAAUAACAGAAACAAGCUUCUUUCGGGAUGAAAGAGGGUUUUAGGGUGUGGUGGUUUGAUUGCCACAGAUCCUUCAUAGUCAAAAGCCAUCGGGAAGCCAACAGAUGAAAAAUUAAUGCUGCUACUGAACAAAGAAUUCAGUUUAAUCAAGAAAUUCAGAGUAUUUCAUUAAUCUUUUAAACUAUUCUCACUUCUUCAGGUACAAUACUUGCAAUAUAAGCACACCUUUUUGCCAAAACACCAUGCUAAAAGAAACCAAUGACACAUGAUAUAAGUACUCAAUCUGCACAAGUUCCCAGCUCAGAAGAAUCUUAUGGAUUAUAAAUUCAUCAAAAGAAAAAAAAACAUGCAUAUGCUGAAUGAUAUCACUUGGCAUAUUUAAACAAUGCUAAUUGACACCAUAUACAUUUACACCAUAUACAUUUACACGAAAGUAUAGCUAAUAAUCAUAACUAAAAAGGCUAACAGCAACAUACAAGUUAAGCAUAGUUAAAUAGAAUCAUAACUCCUGUCCAUAGAUAUUGGCUAUUACAAUAGGAUCUAUCCACUCUUCGUCUUAGGGCCAAUUAGCACUGAUGUAAGAAACACAUAUGCAGACUAAAAAUCGCAGCAACAUGAUGCUAUCCAAAUCAGCAAUGAAAAUGCUGUAAAAAAACAUACCCAGUUUUUGUCAGCUAGUGAACUGUUAUCUCAACCCACUCCCAGCCUGCAAAGAAAAGAAGAAUGAUGAAUAUAUGAAAUGAAAUCAACCUUGUGGAUGUAAGAUGCUUGUCCAUCUUCUCUGGCAUUGCUUGUGAUAUGGCAUCAUCAGGGAAUCAAACACCCAAAUUGUUCCCUGAAGCAUAUUUGGAAGUUGUAGUUGCAUAACUCAGAGUGUCUUAGUCAUCUUUACUUGCAUUUGAGAUGGAAGUAUACUGCCAAAAGAAAAGGCAAAGUUAUGGACCCAAAAUCAUUCAGCAAGAGGAACC